GGACCAGGGCUCUGCGAUAUAUUGCAGUGGAUACGUGGUGUUAAAUCCGACUUUGAGCAAAUGCAAUUAUUUCCACCACCAUCUGAGAAGCCACUUAGAUGCUUAAAGAGAUCCAUGUUCCAGUCCGAAGAAUCUCCCAUCUCUCAAGGGUGAACAACCAACAUGUCAUCCGAGAUUCUGAAGACCUGCAGUCUAUAGCUGCUGCGGAAACCUCGGGAUUGUCCAGACAGGAGCUUGUCUUCCAGUGAGAGGAGAAGAAAAGCCUGAUGAUGCUUGCUAUGACCCUAUUUCUAAAAUUUGUCAUUUGUAUCUGCCCUGAGAUGAUACUUGCAUACAAAAGGCCUAACUUUCAAGCAUGCUGAUUUGUUACCAAAAACCAAUGGAGUAAAGAGGAAGUUCAGGUUCUUGCACCUCUGCAGAGGUGUCUGAUAUGACUUUGUCUGCCCAGUUGUAGAUACCUGACCUUAGAAGUACUGCCCAAGAUUUUGUUAUUCCUCUUAGAAUUAUUGCCACAAUUUAUUCUUUCUCUGCUGAGUGCUAGAAAGCUGUUAUUUCCUCCCUGUAAAAGGAAGAGGGUAUAAUUAAAUUAACCAAAUGAAUCAUUAUCAAAAUAGUUUCUGUCAGGUAUAGAGUUUGUC